CUCGACGCCGUGAUCACCUCAGAACUCCUCCCGCCUCCCGCUGUCUACGCCUCUCCCUCCCGCCUCCCGCUGUCUAUGCCUCUCCCGCUGUCUACUCCUCCCGCCGUGAUUCCUCCCUCCUCCUCCCGCCUCUCGCUGUCUACGCCUCUCCCUCCCGCCUCCUCCCGCCUCCCGCUGUCGACGCCAGCAUCGACGCCAAGAUAAGGUAAAGUCUGAUUAUCUUUUUUUUUAAUCUUUCAGGAGUUUGAAGGUGAGUAAAGAUCAUGCUUGUGAAUGGCUGAUAUGGUUUCUAAUUGAGGUUAUCCAUGGCAAGAAAGAGUUUCUAUAUUGUGAAGAGAGGUCGACGAUGUGGCAUUUUCGAUAAUUGCGAACAUUUUGAUUUGGGAAAGAGAUAUGGACCCAGUUUAACUUCACAGGCAAACAGGAACAUUUUGAUUUGGGAAUCUAGGCUGCAUGUUGGCAGAGUGAAGAAAGGAUUGCUCUGCCUGAAAAGUGGUUUCUGCAUUUCAUUCCUAUUUUGGUUUUCUGUAUUUGUACAUGCUGGAGAGAAUCAUUGUUGUAUGUUUCAGGUUCUCCCCGGAGUUGUAUGUUGUCCUUGUUGUAAUUCAUUUCUUUAUAUGCGUUGAUACGUUUUCUUCA